GAUGAAGAACGCAGCGAAUGCGAUAAGUAAUGUGAAUUGCAGAAUUCAGUGAAUCAUCGAAUCUUUGAACGCACAUUGCGCCCGCCAGCACUCUGGCGGGCAUGCCUGUUCGAGCGUCAUUUCAACCAUCAAGCCCCCAGGGGCUUGUGCUGGGGCCCUGCGGCUGCCCGCAGGCCCUGAAAACCAGUGGCGGGCUCGCUAGUCACACCGAGCGCAGUAGCACAUCUCGCUCAGGGCGUGCGGCGGGCUCCUGCCGUGAAACCCCCCACUGUAACCCCAAAGGUUGACCUCGGAUCAGGUAGGAAUACCCGCUGAACUUAAGCAUAUCAAUAAGCGGAGGA
rnacentral:misc_RNA from 1 species